CCUACGUGAGGCUGCAGACGAGAAUCAUUCACAAUGGGGGAAACCCUGAUGGUGCGACGCCGCGUGGGGGAAUGAAGGUCUUCGGAUUUUAAACCCCUGUCAUGUGGGAGCAAAUUAAAAAGAUAGUACCACAAGAGGAAGAGACGGCUAACUCUGUGCCAGCAGCCGCGGUAAUACAGAGGUCUCAAGCGUUGUUCGGAAUCACUGGGCGUAAAGCGUGCGUAGGCUGUUUCGUAAGUCGUGUGUGAAAGGCGCGGGCUCAACCCGCGGACGGCACAUGAUACUGCGAGACUAGAGUAAUGGAGGGGGAACCGGAAUUCUCGGUGUAGCAGUGAAAUGCGUAGAUAUCGAGAGGAACACUCGUGGCGAAGGCGGGUUCCUGGACAUUAACUGACGCUGAGGCACGAAGGCCAGGGGAGCGAAAGGGAGUAGAUACCCCAGUAGUC
rnacentral:rRNA from 1 species